rnacentral:piRNA from 1 species
UUUUUCUUCAACAUUCGUACC